AAGUCGUAACAAGGUUUCCGUAGGUGAACCUGCGGAAGGAUCAUUAACACGUAUCCACGUAUCAACCCCUCUGCGCAACACGUUAAACGUAAGGUUGGUCUUAGUCUGGCAACUCGCAUAGACCUCAACGAUGGAGGACUUUUUUGUUGAAGCGGUUCCGGCCGCCGAGACUUGGGGGUCCUGAGGUCUGAGUUGUUGGGUGUUUGACGACUGGCCGCUAUUUUCCCAU
rnacentral:misc_RNA from 1 species